GUGGUCUAACUUCAAAUAAUUUCGACGAUUCAAUUAAGAUUUUGUCAUUUACGUUUAUGGCUUUCACAUGUGAAUCAAAAUUAUUAAAUUCUAUUAUUCAUUCGAAAAAGGUCGUUACUGAUAUUUUAAUGCCAAAAAUGCGACUUUUUAAAUGUUUAAAAUUUCUGUCUUUACCAUUUCAACUACCCUGUUGUGCAAAAUGCAGAAAAUUCUUCAUCACAGUGUUAUGUUAAUCUCAACAUUUCUUCGUUACAAAAAAACUUUAAGGUAUCGACUCGAGAGUAUCUUAAUGGACAAAAAUGGUGUUUCCGAAAAUGCAGAAUGCCGAUCUCUUCAAGACGAUGAAA